ACCAGUGUGGUGUAGUGGUUUGAGUUCUGGACUACAACUCUGGAGACCAGGGUUCAAUUCCCUGCUUGAGCA
rnacentral:tRNA from 1 species